UACGGGGGGGGCAAGCGUUGUUCGGAAUUACUGGGCGUAAAGGGUUUGUAGGUGGCCCGCUAAGUCACACGUGAAAUCCCUCAGCUUAACUGGGGAACUGCGUGUGAGACUGGCAGGCUUGAGUGCAGGAGAGGAACGCGGAAUUCCAGGUGUAGCGGUGAAAUGCGUAGAUAUCAGGAGGAACACCGGUGGCGAAGGCGGCGUUCUGGACUGUAUCUGACACUGAAGAACGAAAGCGUGGGGAGCAAACGGG
rnacentral:rRNA from 1 species